UUAGAUCACACUCAAAUUGAGCCAACAACUUUAUUCGCCCAAUUACUCCACAUGCCCGCCCCAAAUUCCUCCCUAAUUAUCUGAUCCAUUUCCCACCUUUCAAAAUCAUUAUAAGCGACCUAAUCUUCACCCAAAUUAACAGAGAUAGAUCUCCUCUUUUUUGGAAGCCCAGCCGCCACCUCCCCCUCAUUCCUUUUCUUUGAAUAAACAAACGAUAUCCCUCCCAUAGAAACAAAAAACCCCAGCAGCUACCCUCUUCGUCUUUUUCUUCUCUCAAGCAGCCACCUAAUUCUGCCUCCUUCUCAAACGAGCUUCACAAACAAAGCCAAAAUUGGAUUCUGGAUAAAAAAUAAAUCAAGAGAAAACAAAAAGGAAAGAAAAAUUGAUCGAAAAACAGAAAGAAAUAGGCUAAAACAGCAAAUUCUGUCAUCAUUAAAAGCUAUUAUUCAUGGUUCUGAGUUUUCUAAAGCAAUUCUAUGUCGAAGCAUUACCGAACCUCUGCUGUUGAUUGCUGAAAUUUCUACCGAGCUUCAUCUGAAUUCGGAUGCCUUCAUUUGGCUCACCUCAGUUAUCUCAUUUUUUGAUUGGGUAAGUUUUAAACCCCUUGUAUUAUGCUUUUAUUUGAAUAAUUGAACCUGUUGAUUCUUGAUUAAUUUCUGUGAAUUUGUUUACCUCAUGAUUUUCUGCUAUUGAAAUAUAUAAUAAAUAUAAUAUUGUGUCAACUUGGAAAGUGAUAAAACUUAGAAGUAAUUCAAAACAUGAUGCUUAUAUGAAGUAAUUUAAUUCUUGGUUUUAAUGAGGACUCCUAUUGUUGGUUAUCCGCUCAUUCUAGAUUUUAAAAUGUAUGUUUUCCAAUCCGAAAUUGGUUGCAUCUUCAUUGGAUUUCUACGGAUCUACUUAGUGCUACCUUAUUUGAUAAAGUUUUCAUUUAAAAGCAUGGUUGGGUUCUAAAUGGGACCGAAUAUUAAUAACUGUUAUGGGAAAAGAAAUUUUCUCUCAAUAUAUACAAAAAGAGAGUGUAAGAAUGAUUGUAGAUCAUUAAAAUACCAUUUGAGCAGUAGGAAUCAAUGUAUACAAUUUUUGUUAGGUGUAGAUUGGGAUGAUUUUCAAUGUCUUGGUUGGUCUUGUAUUCAUAUUGUGCUAUUUUCGUAACUUGCAGUAACAUGUCUCAUCUUAGUGCUAAAUCUACCAAAUCCUGGGCCUGACAUUUAGCAGACCCAUUUUCUAGAGCUAUUACAUUAACCAAAAGCCUUUUUUGGCUCAUUGAAUGAAGAGAACUUUCUUUUAUGAGAAUGUUGAAAUAUCCAAAUUUACUUACAAUUUGCAAUUUUGGGUGAUGCUUAUAACUUUAGAUAAGUCUUUAGAUUUAACCUUUCAACAAAAAUAAUUUUCCUGCGCAUAAGAAGUUAUUGUAUUAGCAUGAAUCUGCUUUUGGGAGUUGUGCUGUGAUCCUUGGCCGCCUAACCUUGUAAAAUUAGAACCUCUACAUAGAUUACAAGUUUAGUUUAGAACAAAUAACUUAUGAAUCUUCGUAGGAAGCUUAGGCGCGUUCCAACCUAUUAUCGUAAUUAUAUAUACGUUCGCGUAAUAUAAUUAUAAUUUUUUAUAAUAAAUCAAAUUACGCGUUCGUGCGAAUUUUACCGAACAAUCUUAAUAAAUAACAAAGUGUUAUUAAUUAUGUAUACGUACACGUGACAUGAUUUUUAACAUGCAAAUGCAACAAAUUUACGCGUAUGUGAUCCGUUUCAAAGAUAAUCCAUAAACACCAUAAUUAAAAGUGGUUAAAAGGGUAAAUGUAUAUAUGUUCUAAAAUAAGUAAUUCAACAAUCUAAUUAAGCCAGGUAUGAUUAAAGCGACCGUGCUAAAAUUACGGAAUUCGGGAGUGUCUUACACCUUCUCCCAGGUUAACAUAAUUUCUUACGCAUUCUUAUGCAUUUCGCCGGUAGUAAAAUAGAGUCAAUUUCCUUAAUUUGGGAUUUAAAAUUAAUCGAUAACUUGGGACAUCUUAAAAUUAUUCCAAUUAACGACUCUAAACCAAAUAAAUAAUUCCAUUUCGAAUAAUAUGAUUUUAAUUGAAAAAAAUCUCUAUUUCUUGGAUAAAAGAUGUGUGACACUAUCAACAUAGAGUAUAAAGAUGAGGAGGUGAAUCUCACGACCUCCCCGUGACGAGGGAGGUUGCUUACACCUUUUGCAACAUAACCAAACAAAAUGGGAAAUGAGUCUCUACAUCUGAUAACUAGGGAUUUUUACAGCUUUUAUACUCCUUCUCACUUAUGCUUUGAUUAGAAAUUCAUACAAAAUAGUCUCAAAAGGCUCACAAAGUGCACUUGAUUGCAGGUUUGAUCAACAAAGUGACAGGAUAAUCAAAGAUCGACUCAAAAUGAGUGAAACUUGCACAAGUGAUAAAGACAAGGCAAGCUCAGGUAAAAACAGGCUCUGUGCGGGCGCACUACAUUCUUUGCGGUCUGCACAGGGAGAUUCAGAGAGCAUGAUUUUCAGGCUAAUUGGCAGUGCGACCGCACUAGGUUUUGUGCGGUCCGCACUGAAGGCCAUGCGGCCGCACUCGAUUUAGUGUGGUCCGCAGAACCAAGAUUCGGAGAAGUUGCACGAUGAAAUUUUGAAGCAUGUGCGCUCCGCGGUCGAUUUUGUUCAGACCGCACUAGAAGCCUCUCCGGCCACAGUCCAUUCUAUGCGGUUUGCAGUGCCUGAGUUCAGAGAGUCAGAUUUUCAAGUUUAGAUCCCUAGUGCGGCCACACACCAUUUGUGCGGUCUGCACUAACUUGUCCAAAUUUUUUAAGCUUAGUAUAAAUAGAUUCUUUUUCCAUUUUUUUGGUAUCAGAUAUUGUGAUUAAGCAGUUGCGCUCGAAAGUUCAAGAUUCUUAAAUAUUUUGGGCAUUUUUAGCUACUUUUAAUCACUAAAUCUCUGUAUUUUUAGUGAUUAAUUAAUAUGAGUUUAUUUUCAUCUAUUUCUUAUUUUUCUUCUUUAAUUAUGAGAAGCUAGACCCACUAACUAGGAUUGUGG
rnacentral:lncRNA from 1 species